GAUGAACGCUGGCGGCAGGCUUAACACAUGCAAGUCGAACGCAUCCUUCGGGGUGAGUGGCAGACGGGUGAGUAACGCGUGGGAACGUGCCCUUCAGUUCGGGAUAACCCAGGGAAACUUGGGCUAAUACCGGAUACGUGCGAGAGCAGAAAGAUUUAUCGCUGAAGGAUCGGCCCGCGUCUGAUUAGCUAGUUGGUGGGGUAAUGGCCCACCAAGGCGACGAUCAGUAGCUGGUCUGAGAGGAUGAUCAGCCACAUUGGGACUGAGACACGGCCCAAACUCCUACGGGAGGCAGCAGUGGGGAAUAUUGGACAAUGGGCGCAAGCCUGAUCCAGCCAUGCCGCGUGAGUGAUGAAGGCCUUAGGGUUGUAAAGCUCUUUCGUCCGGGACGAUAAUGACGGUACCGGAAGAAGAAGCCCCGGCUAACUUCGUGCCAGCCGCCGCCGCAG
rnacentral:rRNA from 1 species